GUGUGUGUGUGUAUGUUUUUCCAGAUACUAGUCCUUUAUUGGAUUUGUGGCUUGCAAAUAUUUUCUCCCAGUCUGUAGGUUGUCUUUUCAUCUUUU